AUGGUCUUGCAAGCUCAAACAAAUGGCUUAAUUGAUGGGCUGGCCUCGGAUUUGGUAGAUAAUGGAGUGGCUAUUCUGCAAUAUGCAGAUGACCCAAUCAUGUGCAUUGAACAUAAUCCUGAAAAAGCACUCAAUUUGAAGUUGUUGCUGUAUAUGUUCGAACUCAUGCCAGGACUGGAAAUUAAUUUUCAGAAAAGCGAAAUCCUUAGUGUGGGAGGGGAUGAUAAUAUUCUAAAAGAAUAUGCUGAUAUUUUUGGUUGUCGGAUUGGGCACUUCCUGAUGAAAUAUCUUGGGGUCCCUAUUAGUUAUUCGAACAUGAAGGGUGUGGAUUGGGACUACCUUGAGGCAAAAUUUGUCAAAAGUUGUGAAUCUGGUCUAAGAAGUAAUGCC
rnacentral:rRNA from 1 species